rnacentral:rRNA from 1 species
AGGAAAGCAGGGGAUCGCCAGACCUUGCUCUUUUGGAGCGGCCGAUGUCUGAUUAGCUAGUUGGUGAGGUAAAGGCUUACCAAGGCUUCGAUCAGUAGCUGGUCUGAGAGGACGACCAGCCACACUGGGACUGAGACACGGCCCAGACUCCUACGGGAGGCAGCAGUGGGGAAUUUUGGACAAUGGGGGCAACCCUGAUCCAGCCAUGCCGCGUGAGUGAAGAAGGCCUUCGGGUUGUAAAGCUCUUUCAGCCGGAACGAAAAGGUUACGGUUAAUACCCGUGACUAAUGACGGUACCGGAAGAAGAAGCACCGGCUAACUACGUGCCAGCAGCCGCGGUAAUACGUACGGUGCGAGCGUUACUCGGAAUUACUGGGCGUAAAGCGUGCGCAGGCGGUUUUGUAAGUCACAUGUGACAUCCCCGGGCUUAACCUGCGAACUGCGUUUGAACUACCAAGCU